UAGGGAGGGGGUGACUAGUGACAGAGUGAGGGGGUGACUAGUGACAGAGUGAGGGAGGAAGGGGGUGACUAGCGACAGAGUGAGGGAGGGAGGGGGUCACUAGUGACAGAGUGAGGGUGACUGUCACUAGUCACCCCCUCCCUCACUCUGUCACUAGUCACCCCUUCCUUCCCUUACUCUGUCACUAGUCACCCCUUCCCUCCCUCUGUCACUAGUCACCCCUUCCCUCCCUUACUCUGUCACUAGUCACCCCUUCCCUCCC